rnacentral:rRNA from 1 species
CCUACGGGAGGCAGCAGUGGGGGAUAUUGCACAAUGGGGGAAACCCUGAUGCAGCGACGCCGCGUGGGUGAAGAAGCGUUUCGGUAUGUAAAGCCCUGUCAGCAGGGAAGAAAAUGACGGUACCUGAUGAAGAAGCCCCGGCUAACUACGUGCCAGCAGCCGCGGUAAUACGUAGGGGGCAAGCGUUAUCCGGAUUUACUGGGUGUAAAGGGGGCGCAGACGGCGGCACAAGACUGGAGUGAAAUGCCGGGGCUUAACCCCGGGACUGCUUUGGGAACUGUGCAGCUAGAGUGCAGGAGAGGCAGGUGGAAUUCCUGGUGUAGCGGUGAAAUGCGUAGAUAUCAGGAGGAACACCAGUGGCGAAGGCGGCCUACUGGACUGCAACUGACGUUGAGGCCCGAAAGCGUGGGGAGCAAACAGGAUUAGAUACCCGGGUAGUC